rnacentral:rRNA from 1 species
UAAUACGGGGGGUGCAAGCGUUAAUCGGAGUUAUUGGGCGUAAAGGGUUCGUAGGUUGUUUGUUAAGUUAUGUGGGAAAUACCUGGGCUUAACCUAGGAAUGUCGGAUAAUACUGAUGAACUUGAGUAUAGUAGAGGGUAGUGGAAUUUCCGGUGUAGCGGUGAAAUGCGUAGAGAUCGGAAGGAACACCAGUGGCGAAGGCGGCUACCUGGACUAAUACUGACACUGAGGAACGAAAGCGUGGGUAGCAAACAGGAUUAGAUACCCUGGUAGUCCACGCCGUAAACGAUGUCAACUAGCUGUUGGGUAAAUGAAUUUACUUAGUGGCGCAGCUAACGCGAUAAGUUGACCGCCUGGGGAGUACGGUCGCAAGAUUA